ACAAUAUAUAGGGGAAGAUCGUUACCCUUCGUACGCGGGGCACAUUCAUACAGUCAAAAUAAAACUUGAACGAAACAAAGUACAGUCUUGCUUUUGUAUGUGUGCAUGAGUCGAGGUACCAACUAUACAUCAACGAAGUUUCGUGAAAUUCGCACCGAUGAGAGUGAAGUUACAGGCAUGGACGUGUUUUCGCGCUCGUUAGUGGGGUACAUUCGGACAGCACUAGAUGGGGCACAUUUGAACGAAUUGUACAACUAAAUUUGUAU